CCUUUUUUUUUCUUUGGCUAUAAAUUGGAUCCGCAUCAGUCAGCUCAACACUUGUUACGGAGCAACUAAACAUAGAGAGAGAGAGAGAGGGUGGAUGACGAGGACGGCCUACUGCUUUCUUUGAGACAGCAUGCAUGCAUGGCCUGAGCUUGCUUUGAGCCCUCCUCGCUCGCUCGCUCACCUUCUUAUCUCCUCCAUCCAUCCAAAAAUAUCUCCAUGCGCUCAGACGGGGACGAGACGACGGGAGAAGGAGGAGGAGGGCGCCCGCCCGCCACGCGCCUCCUCCAAAUCCCAGCCGUCCACGUGUCCCAGUCCGCGACCCCCACGCGCCUAUAUCCAUCCAUCAUCCUAUUCCUAUCCCGCCACAUAGUCCACCACCACCUAUUAUUCCGCUCCCGACGCCCAGAAUUCACGAGAACGCACCCGCCCGCCUCCUCCUUCCGUCCCCAUCCAGAUGAUGCUUAGGGUUUCCGCGUCUCCGGCCGCCGCGGUGGCCAACCAUCUCUCUGGUGGGGCCGCGGCGACCACGGCUCCUGCCAGGGUGACGGCGCAGCGCAGCGGCGUCUCGCUGUCCGCCGCCGCCGCCGCCGGCAAGGGGAAGGAGGUGCUCAGCGGGGUGGUGUUCCAGCCCUUCGAGGAGAUCAAGGGGGAGCUCGCCCUCGUGCCCCAGUCCCCCGACAGGUCGCUCGCGCGCCACAAGUUCGUCGACGACUGCGAGGCAGCCAUCAACGAGCAGAUCAAUGUGGAGUACAACGCCUCGUAUGCGUACCACUCCCUCUUCGCCUACUUCGACCGCGACAACGUGGCCCUCAAAGGAUUUGCCAAGUUCUUCAAGGAAUCCAGCGACGAGGAGAGGGAGCACGCUGAAAAGCUCAUGGAGUAUCAGAACAAACGCGGAGGCAGGGUGAGGCUCCAGUCGAUUGUGGCGCCUUUGACCGAGUUUGACCACCCCGAGAAAGGCGAUGCUCUGUACGCUAUGGAGCUGACUCUGGCUCUGGAAAAGCUGGUUAAUGAGAAGCUGCACAGCCUGCAUGGUGUGGCAACAAGGUGCAAUGAUCCUCAGCUGAUAGACUUCAUCGAGAGUGAGUUCCUCGAGGAGCAGUUUUGGGUUUUCUUUUGAAAGGUGGAAGCCAUAAAUAAGGUCUCCAAGUAUGUCGCGCAGCUGAGGAGAGUGGGCAACAAGGGGCACGGGGUGUGGCACUUUGAUCAGAUGCUGCUUCAGGAAGGGGCCUGAAGGCCAACAAGGGUGGCGUGGACGGAGCUGAGCUCUGGGUGGUGUAUUCUUUUCUUUUUCUUUUCUUUCCAGUUGGUUAGUGUUUUAGUUGUAGAACGGUGUUGCGUUGCCCACAUGACAUGAUGGAUGUUACGUGGAGGAUUGUCUCUUAUAUUUGAACAUUAUAUUGUCGUUCGUUUUUGGCA